UACGGGGGAUGCAAGCGUUAUCCGGAAUUAUUGGGCGUAAAGCGCCUGUAGGUUGUUUAAUAAGUCCAAUAUUAAAGACUAGGGCUCAACCCUAGAAAAAUAUUGGAAACUGUUAAGCUCGAGUAUGGUAGAGGUAGAGGGAAUUUCUAGUGUAGCGGUGAAAUGCGUAGAUAUUAGAAAGAACACCGGUGGCGAAAGCGCUCUACUGGGCCAUUACUGACACUGAGAGGCGAAAGCUAGGGGAGCAAAAGGGAUUAGAUACCCCUGUAGUCCUAGCCGUAAACGAUGGAUACUAGGUGUUGUAUUUUUUUACAGUAUCGUAGCUAACGCGUUAAGUAUCCCGCCUGGGGAGUACGCUCGCAAGGGUG
rnacentral:rRNA from 1 species